rnacentral:piRNA from 1 species
UUGAAUGCUGAUGGAUGCUC